rnacentral:lncRNA from 1 species
GGAAACGCGGGGAUGCACAUUUGAAAGUGAAGACGCAGGAAGCCUGAUGGCUCCCAGAGCACACGGCCGCCAGAUUUCCUUUGUAAAAGAAACGGGACUGUAUAGUUUAGAGAUGUCUGCACCUCAGCCACAGCUGAAUAAGAGUCUUUCUCUGUUGCUGGCUUCUUGUUUGCUGUAAUCCUAUAAUUUUCUGGUGCUCAUGACCAUCGGUGAUUCUCUGGCUUCUUGUCCUCCCCCCAUCUAUCUGUUGGCUCCUGGGAGCAGGGGUUCCAGUCCACCUGGCUAGCCAGCAUGUGAUUCUGACAGUAAUGAGCCACAUGGGGAGACCCCAGGAGAGGAACAAGAAUAGGUCAUGCCUAUAUUUUUAUGUGGAGAUUGAUAAUCAAGGCUAACAAUCCCGGCAGAAGGUGAACAACACAUUAAACAGAGGGGCAAAGAUAAUAAAACAUCUCCUGCUGGUUAACAGUCGUUGGGUGGAAACGUUCCCUGGAACUAUCCAGCUGUUGCACUUCAUGGCUCAUAAAGCCUCGGUAACGUCCGUCAAGGGCCUUUUUUCUUGGUGAGGGACCAUUUUUUUCAUGCAGUUAUGAUAGCAUCUGGUUCCUAUCCCUGGAAAUGCAAAGAAUCCACAGGCACAGGCAGGCAGCUGCUGGGGAAGAGCCGGACUGCAGAGGCAUCUGGCUCCUUUGAUGGGUUUUGGGUCACUUCUGAUCUAACGGGCACCAUCGGCAUGUAAAUGCGGACUCAUUGGGCGGUCUGAGCGUCUGCUGUGUUCCAAGUUAUCACAUGUAAUCCUCACAACUGUGAGGUAGGGAUUAUCAUCAUUUAAAAAAGAAUACCAUGGGGCUUCCCUGGUGGCGCAGUUGUUGAGAGUCCGCCUGCCGAUGCAGGGGACACGGGUUCGUGCCCCGGUCUGGGAAGAUCCCACAUGCUGUGGAGCGGCUGGGCCCGUGAGCCAUGGCCGCUGAGCCUGCGCGUCCGCAACGGGAGAGGCCGCAGCAGUGAGAGGCCCGCAUACUG